rnacentral:rRNA from 1 species
UACGGAAGGGGCAAGCGUUGUUCGGAAUCAUUGGGCGUAAAGGGCGCGUAGGUGGUUCUGUAUGUCUACCGUGAAAGCAUACAGCUCAACUGUAUUUUGUCGGUAGAAACUGCAGGACUUGAGGCUGGGAGGGGCUGGUGGAAUUCCCUGUGUAGCGGUGAAAUGCGUAGAGAUGGGGGGAACACUCGUGGCGAAGGCGGCCAGCUAGACCAGUUCUGACACUGAGGCGCGACAGCGUGGGGAGCAAACAGG